rnacentral:rRNA from 1 species
AUGAUAAGAAGUAUAACAACAACCAGUCCAAGCAUCAGGAUAAUAGAAGGGGAAAUUCUUCACCUGAUGCUGCAGGGAUAUACUGAUGCUGACUGGCAGGGAGACCUUGAUGAAAGGAAGUCGACGUCGGGUUGUCUAUUUACUUUGGCUGGAGGUGCUAUCUCUUGGAAGAGCAAGAAACAAACUUCUGUGGCGCAGUCUUCUAUGGAAGCAGAGUACAUUGCUGCGAAUGAAGCUGUAAAAGAUGGCGUUUGGUUGAGGAACUUUCUGGUUUCUCUAGAGAUAGUUGAAAAUGCGUCCGAUCCGGUCACUGUUUAUUGUGAUAAUCAAGCUGCGAUUAAACUUUCCAAGGAUCCCAAGUUUCAUAGCAGGGCUAGACAUAUUGAGGGAAAGUAUCAUUAUAUUAGAGAUGUAAUAAAUAGGCUGAAAACUGUUCGGCUUGCAUUUUUGUCUGGUACUGAUAUAUUGGCAGAUCCACUGACUAAACCUCUUAGUCAGGAAUUGUUUUGCAAACAUGUCAGAAACAUGGGCCUUAGGAUUUUUGAUUGA